CCGAGCGCCGCGUCCAACCGCGGGAAAACGUCACUUCCGCCCGCGGCGUCACGUCCGCGAGGCUCCGGGCCCGCCGGCGUCUGGAGGGAACCCGGGCGCCGGGUGGCGCGCGGGGCGGGGGCGCGAGGUCGGGCGGGCUGGGCACGGGGCCCGGGCCGGCGCCCAGGCGUCUUUCCUGAGGCUGCGGCCGCCGCCCGAACCUGUCUCUCCCCGAAACGCUCCCUUCCAGGCACGGGUGCCGGUAACGGGGGCAUGGCACAGUCUGGUGGGUGAGCUUGGGCCCCUGUUCAUCUGUGGGCGGAUCGUGGGGUGCGGCUCAGGCCCCGCCGGGAAUAUCAGGCGUUUGCACCCUCCGCGGGCACGCCCCUCUCCUUCUGGGCGGCGCCCGCCGUCUCCACCGCAGCCCUCCCGCCCAGUCCGCUAAGCGGGGUGGCCCAAACGGAAACAAACAGUGCUGGAACACAGAAUAGGAGCUGGACCCUGCCAGUCACUAGGAGGAAGAAUAAGUGGCUUGAGAUAUGAAUAUACAUGAACUUCUUGGCUUGGUCAGGACCUGGAGGAAAAAAGAUUGGAGUAUUGGGGAUACUGAAAACAGAAGAUGAGUGGAUCUAUGGGAGUGAGAAUAAAGCAUUUCUAUCUUUGUGUCUCAUGUUAAUUCCCACCAAAGAGCAUCAAUCACAGAGAAGAUUCGCUGGCAGCAGAGAUUGUGGCUGGACACCAUCUUGAACAGGACUAUGACAAAAUGGACUUGUUCCUUCCUCCUUAGGGAAGAAGUGAAGGAAUGAUCACACAAAACUAGAUGUCCCUAUUGUAUGUAUGCAGUAUUGGGGUGAAUCUAAUGGAAAGGCAAGAGUGAAAAUUAAUGGUGCAAGAAAUGGAUUUUAUCGAACACUGCUUAUGUACUCAGAUGCUCUUGGCCUCACUGGAAAAUCUUAUACGCCCAGUCGUCUUAUACGCCGGAAAAUACGAGAGCGAGAAAGGGAAAGAGAAACAUCGAUGUGGGAAACAUCAAUCAACUGCCUCCUGACCGUGCCCUAACUGGGGAUU